UCCGGUUCAUCCUGCCGGAGGCUACCGCUAUUGGAGUCGAUUAAGCCAUGCGAGUCGAGAGUCUUAGGGACUCGGCGUACCGCUCAGUAACACGUGGGUAACCUGCCCUAUGCUGGGGAAUAACCUCGGGAAACUGAGAAUAAUGCCCCAUAGUUCACUACGCCUGGAACGGUGAGUGGAUGAAAGCUCCGGCGGCAUAGGAUGGGCCUGCGGCGUAUCAGGUCGUAGGGGGUGUAACGUACCCUCUAGCCAUCGACGCGUACGGGUGUUGGGAGACAUAGCCCGGAGAUGGAUUCUGAGACACGAAUCCAGACCCUACGGGGUGCAGCAGGCGCGAAAACUUGGCAAUGCGAGAAAUCGUGACCAGGGAACUCCAAGUGGCUGGGGUAAGACCCAGUCUUUUCUUGACUCUUCAAAGGUCUUGGAAUAAGAGGUGGGUAAGGACGGUGCCAGCCGCCGCGGUAAUACCGGCGCCUCAAGUGGUAGUCGAUUUUAUUGGGCCUAAAACGUCCGUAGCCUGUUUGGUACAUUCGUGGGUAAAUCAACCAGCUCAACUGGUUGAAUUCUGCGAGCACGGCCAGACUUGGGACCGGGAGAGGUGUGGGGUACGCUCAGGGUAGGGGUAAAAUCCUGUCAUCCUGAGCGGACCACCUGUUGCGAAGGCGCCACACUAGAACGGAUCCGACGGUCAGGGACGAAGCCUAGGGGCACGAACCGGAUUAGAUACCCGGGUAGUCCUAGGUGUAAACGCUGUGGACUUGGUGUUGGGGAUGAUCCGAUCAUUCUCAGUGCCGAAGCGAAGGUGAUAAGUCCACUGCCUGGGGAGUACGGUCGCAAGGCUGAAACUUAAAGGAAUUGGCGGGGGAGCACCGCAACCUGAGGAU
rnacentral:rRNA from 1 species